UCAAUGGAGGCAACUCUGAACCAGCCAAGCCGCGUGAAGGAAGACUGUACUAUGAAUAGUAAACUUCUGUUGUGGAAAAGAAAAUAUAGCUACGUGUAGUUGUUUGCAAGUAUACCAUGAAUAAGCAUCGGCUAACUCCGUGCCAGCAGCCGCGGUAAUACGGAGGAUGCAGGCGUUAUCCGGAUUUAUUAGGUUUAAAGGGUGUUUAGGCUGCCACAUAAGUCAGGGUGAAAGUCGGUUGCUCAACAAUCGAAUUGCCUUUGAAACUGUGUGGCUCGAGUAUAGAUGAGGUAGGCGGAAUGUGUAGUGUAGCGGUGAAAUGCAUAGAUAUUACACAGAACCCCAAUUGCGAAGGCAGCUUACCAAACUAUUACUGACGCUGAAGCACGAAAGCGUGGGUAGCGAACAGGAUUAGAUACCCUGGUAGUCCACGCCGUAAACUAUGCUCACUCGCUGUUGGCAAUAGAUCGUCAGCGGCUAAGGGAAACCGAUAAGUGAGCCACCUGGGGAGUACGAUCGCAAGAUUGAAACUCAAAGGAAUUGACGGGGGCCCGCACAAGCGGAGGAACAUGUGGUUUAAUUCGAUGAUACGCGAGGAACCUUACCUGGGCUUAAAUGUAGAGUGCAUAAAGUGGAAACAUUUUUUUCCUUCGGGACUCUUUACAAGGUGCUGCAUGGUUGUCGUCAGCUCGUGCCGUGAGGUGUCGGGUUAAGUCCCAUAACGAGCGCAACCCCUAUCGUUAGUUACCAGCACGUAUUGGUGGGGACUCUAGCGAAACUGCCGGUGUAAACCGUGAGGAAGGUGGGGAUGACGUCAAAUCAGCACGGCCCUUAUGUCCAGGGCUACACACGUGUUACAAUGGUCGGUACAGUGGGCAGCCACAUAGCAAUAUGGAGCUAAUCUCAAAAGCCGAUCUCAGUUCGGAUUGGAGUCUGCAACCCGACUCCAUGAAGGUGGAUUCGCUAGUAAUCGCGCAUCAGCCAUGGCGCGGUGAUACGUUCCCGGGCAUUGACACACCGCCCGUCAAGCCAUGGAAGUUUGGGGUGCCUGAAGUUCGUAACCGCAAGGAGCGACCUAGG
rnacentral:rRNA from 1 species